rnacentral:tRNA from 1 species
GAGUCCGUGGUGUAGUGGUUAUCACGCUCGUCUCACAGAGUGCACGAGCGGUCGCCGGUUCGAUCCCGGCCGGACUCA